UACGUAGGGUGCGAGCGUUGUCCGGAAUUAUUGGGCGUAAAGGGCUCGUAGGCGGUUUGUCGCGUCGGGAGUGAAAACCCAGGGCUUAACCUGGGAACUGCGAUGGAAACUAGCGAGCUGGAGUGUGGCAGAGGGGGGUGGAAUUCCGCGUGUAGCAGUGAAAUGCGUAGAGAUGACGGAGGAACACCGAUGGCGAAGGCAGCCCCCUGGGCUAACACUGACGCUCGAGGCACGAAAGCGUGGGGAGCAAACAGG
rnacentral:rRNA from 1 species